rfam:Branchiostoma floridae genomic scaffold BRAFLscaffold_245, whole genome shotgun sequence.
GGGCCAGUAGCGUAAUGGAUAACGCGUCUGACUUCGGAUCAGAAGAUUGCAGUUUCGAAUCCUGGCAGACUCG